CUUAGUUUUAAAACAAUUCUUCAUUGAACUGCUUCCUAAACCUGUCCUACGAGGAAGCCAGGCAGUCAUGGUACUUCUGUAGACUACUAGCAGAGGGUCCUUUUCUGCAACUAUGCCAGUUACACCUCUUGUUGCUGCUGCCGUCAAGUCGGCUCUGCCUCAUGGCGUCCUCACGUGUGCCUGGUCCUGCACUGUUUUCAUGACCGUGGAUUCCACAGCUCCCUUCUGGGAGCGGCAAGUGGGAGUUGAUGGUUCCGACUACUUUACUGAGAAGCUGCAGGAAACCACUGCCGCAGGGCCUCAACACCUCAGCCUCACUCUUCCUUCCUGGACCCUGGGGGACAGUCUGGAACAGCCCCAACUUGCCAUGAUUACUCAUCAACCCUAGACCCAGCCUGUGGGGAAAGCCUGCUCGUGACUGGUCAGUGAGGGUUAACCUGACACCGUCGCCCUGGAUCCUUACACCCACCGACUCCCGGUGCAUCGUGUACGUGUUAUAUCCAGAGUCUGCCCCGGGGUCCCCUGCAUCUGCAGAGGGAAACUGAAGGGAGAAGGAAUGAAGAGUGGCCAUGGAGACAGAAAACUGAAACUGAAGGGAAAAGGAAUGAAGAGUGGCCAUGGAGAGAGAAGGAGCUCUCAGGUAGUCAAGACUUCACAUGUUCACUUCCCAACAUCUGCUCAGCAGCAGGCCUUCCUGUGGGUCCGAGAAAAACCAGCGCUCCAGGGCACUGGUCUCGAGUUGUCUGCCGCUGUACCGAGAGCCCAAUGAGGCUGAGGGCAGCCUGUGUUUCCCUCAGUGCCUUCCGAAAGUCCCACUGCCAUCCCCACGGCAACUCGGAGGUGGAGGAUUAAAUACCACUCUUCCCACCACUUCACCUGAGUCAGCUGAUUUUUUAGUUGGUUAAAAAUCAACAUAGCAGUGUUCUCCUUCUUCUGAGAAAGCCAAAGUUGAAAUAAUGUGCAAACUGAAACCCUAACACAGACAAUUAGAAGGGCAUGUCUCCUUUGAUCUGGUUGGCCACUUGCUCAUCCAUGGGCUCCUCUUUCUUCUUCUCACGCUCUCUGUUCCAAUCCUUCAGGCCCUCUGGGAGUGAGGUGUCCUCGUCCAAGCUGCCAGUUCCUUCCACAAAUUCCUCGUAAGUAGAUUUUUCCACAAAAGGUCUGGGGCCCAAAAGUUCAACCAUAUCAUUCUUAUCUAAUACUUCUUUUUCUAGCAAUAGAAGAGCAACCUGAAAUAUGAACAAUUUUCAUUAAAUAUAGUUACUCAGUAAAUGUCUACUCAGAGGUAACAGUAUUUUCCUUUAUAGCCCACCCCAUUCCAAGUAAGGAUUUAAGAUCACUCAAGAAGAUGUCUCAUACAUUAGGUUACACCAUUUUAAAGAAAGAUGCAUAAAACACCGUAAACAAAAAUGUACACCAACAAAGGACUGGUACAUCCACACAGUGAACAGCUAUGAACUGUAAUAAAGAAUGUGGAGGCUCUCUUUGUUCUAUAUAUAUACCAAAGAUACAGACUUAAAUGAAAAAAGCAAGAUCUACAAUGUGUAUAGUGUGCUACAUUUUAUUUUAAAAGGAGGAAAGAAUGUUAUCUGUGUUUAUCUAUACCUAAGGAAAUUCUGGAAGGAUGUAGUAAAUCAAGCUCGCUGAUGCUGAGUCAAUUCCAAGUCAUAGCGACCCUACAGGAAAGAGCAGAAUUGCCCCAUAGGGUUUCCAAGGAGUGGCUGGUGGACUCGAUCGAGCUGCCGACCUUUUGGUUAGCAGCAGAACUCUUAGGAAGGAUGUGUAAGAAAUAAACGUGGUUAUGGGAGGCAGGCUGGGGAAAGGAUAGAAACGGAGUGAACAGAAAAAAAAAAAAAAAAAGCUGAAAAAGAAUAAAGACAAACAAGGGCAGAGAUACAAAAGGAAGGUUAAUACCAAAAUACGUUCUCUUGAAGUUCUAUUCAUUUGUUACAGAAGAACUAUGUAUUUUAGCAGGCCACAGCAAAGGGGACACCUGACCAGUUAUGUCUGUGGAGGCAAGCUAUGGUGUCAGGAGAGCAGGUAAGGGUGUUCACGUUAGGUCACCUGACUGCUGUAAAGAAACUAAGCAGUUUAAAUUAUGAAUUAUCUCAUAAAUGGAUUUAGUUCCAAAGACAGUGGAAGAAAUAAUGUUAGAAAUUCAACACAUCUGUAGUUUACAUUAAGAGCUAUGUUUUUAAAGACAUAAAAUACAGGCAGUCCUCAGGUUUCGAACGUCGGACUAUGGACAACCCGCACUUGCCCUUUCAUGUUAUGUGCAUUUGCUCUCACUGUGAAACUACCUACUCCAAAGAGAUUCUUCACCCCAAUCACCUGCAGCUCUUGUAUCACUGCAAAGGCUUCGAGCCUCUUCCUGCACUAAAGUAAAGCUGGGUAAGAACCGUAUACACCUGUUCCACUUACCUACAAAUUCGACUUAAAGACAGUUAAGAACGGAUCUCAUUCAUAACCUGGGGACUGCCUAUAACUCAACUUUUCUUCUUUUCAAUUUUUAAAAACUAUUAUCGAGUAUUUCCAGUAUGCACAAAAGCAGAAAGGAUAACCAAUCCCCAUGUACCCAUUAUCAACAAGUAUCAACUUAGAGCCAUUUUUAUUUUAUCUACUCCUUGGAUUAUUUUGAAGAAGAUCUCAGAUGUCAUACCAUUUAUUCAUAUACGUUUUUGUACAUUUCUAAGAGGUAAGGAUUCUUCAAAAAACAAUGAGAAUACUAAAAUGCUCUAGUUUUUUAAAUACAUUGUUUACAGACAUAAGAUCUGGAGUAACAAAAUGUUUUUAAUUCCUUCUUAGACAUCUUUAAUUCUCAAUUUGCCUAACCAUAUAUAUGUAUUUACGUGCACACAUACACACUUACACAGUUGUAGAUAACUACUAAAAAAAGAGAGGUAACUUUUUAAAUAUAAUUUUCUCUGAUGGACCAGAAAGUUCACAAUUCUUCAGUGUUUCAAGAACCUCACUAUGUUAAAGCAAUUACCUUUCAACAGGUAUUUCGUUGCCAAAUGUUGUCAUCACAUGCAUUAUAAAUAUGGAAGGAGCACGAUAACUGGGUUAUAUUCCCUGGAUACAUGUGAGCAUCUAUUACACGCAAGGAGAAUCCCUACUUUGAGAAAUUUCACACACACUCUUUGCUCUCACAGAGCUGGUCAUCCAGAGUGAGUGCUCUGCUGCUGUCUCUCACAGCUUCUUUGUCUUCAACAAAUGGCUAUACGGGACCAUAAACAGAUCUUUGCCUAGGCCUGGACCUCCUAUCCAUAUUCCAUUUGCAAAUGCCCACUGCUCACCCCCUCCUGGGUAUCCCACUGAGCCCUGCCUACCUCUCCUGCCCUCCGCCAGCCCACGUCUGCCAUCGUCCAAGUCUUGGGGUCAUCCUGAGGUCUUUUUUCUCUUCUAUUUAAUCAGUAAGUCUUGUUUUUUAGAUCCGCCUCUGCCUUUUUAUUUCCACUGCCGCCACGGGUAUCAUCUCAGGAAUGUCUGAGCUGGCCUGUUUGUCCAGUGUUUUCCACGCUAACAGAAUGGCACACUGCUGCCACACACAUCUGUUUGCACAAUGAACGUUUCAUCAUUUCUACUCACAAUUCCUUAAGGACUCCCAAUUAACACAAGGGGGCCAGAUUAGAUAAUUUUUAAGGUCAAUUCUAUUUCUAAUCCCUGGUGGCAUAGUGGUUAAGAGCUACGGCUGCUAACCAAAAGGUCAGCAGUUCAAAUCUACCAGGUGCUCCUUGAAAACCCUAUGGGGCAGAAUGGGUAUGGGUCUAUUUCUAAUACUGUGUUUUCUGCUUAGCUUUUGAGGCUCUUCAUAAUCCAGGCCAACCACCCUUCACUGUCAGCUCCAGGCAGGCACCCCGGUCCUGCCGUCUCCACUAUACACACGUGUCUGCUCUCAGGCCUCCACACCGCAGGCUCCUUUCCUUUACAUGUUCUACCCUGAUCAAUUUCAAGGUAAAAUUUAAGCCCUAUCUUAUCCGUCCUUACAGAGCCUUCUCUGACCACUUGCAGCGUGAUGGGCUGCUUUUGUGUGGCCUUUCCUGCCGUGGUCUUGAAACUUCCACCCAAGUGAUUGGGUGGGACUGUGUACAUAAGGUAAUUGUGGGCCACCAAAGGUAUUGGUCAGUUUUGCCAUCCCACAGGCUUAAAAUGAGCCAUCCCAGAGGCGGCAAAGAGAGGAUCCUACCACCACCGGGGAGCCAAGAGUGAAGCAUGUCCUUUGGACCUUGUGCUGAGACACUUUUGAAACCAGGCAACCAAAAGAGAGAGCCAGAGCUUUAAGAUGGAAGACGGCGAGAAGUGGUAGCAGAGAAAUGGCAGCAGGAGAGACCAGCAGCAGGAAAUAGCACGGUGGGCUUCCUGAGUGCCUUCGGGUAGGAGGCUUGCUGGCAGAAUAGGGUGCCUCGGGACCCUUAGUGGGGCUAGGUUUGCCAAUCCACAGAGCCAGAGCUGAAUGCCUCUGGGCCACAGCUUACUGGUGGAGUGGGGUCCCUCUGGGCACUUACUGGCAGACCUAAAAGAGCUUUGUAACACUUGCUGAAGUGGGGCAGCAGCCGAGGGUCAGAGAGAGGCCUGCCUGCAACACGGCUGAGAACAGGCUAUCCUGAUGGAGGAACUGCAUCCUGAGUGUUCCUGAACCUGAAUUGUAACUUGUAACUUCCCCAAUAAACCCUAUAAUCCUAAGUAUCAUCUGUGAGUUGUGUGUGGCCAUUGCAACGAACUAUCAAACACAACAGAGCACUAAGAGUGCCGUAGGAGACACAGUGAUAUCAGAAUUGGUAAAGACGGCAGAGAGAGGAGGCAUGUCUGGAUUCCGCCUCACAGGAAUCAGCCUUGGGCUGUUGAUCCUGAUUCUCUUUUCCCCUGGUGAAGUCAGAGGAGGUCAGACGUCGCCUCCAUACCGUUUUUACACCACUCUGGCUCCUGCUGCAUUCCUCAGUGUGUUUCAGUGGACCAGCUCUCUUGCCAGUUAGACAGUGAGUUUUGAGAAGACGCCAGGGCAGGCUCACGGCAGCUUGUCUGAAGACUUGCUGAUUGAAUAAUGUAUCUUAGAAUAUGCUUUUACUUGAGUCUAUCCUUUAUAAGUGGCUUUUCCAAUUGUGUUUUUCUCAUUAGAGUGUGGAAUGUCCAAAGAACAAAAACUCCACUUUUGCUGUGUAAAUCCUGAGGAGCUGGUUCACUGGCUGCAAGAACUCCAGUCGGUUCAGCGAGAACCCUCCCUUCUCAUAGGUGCUAUCAGUGAGACGCAAUAACGAAAACCAGCAGGCACGUUUAUCCACGUUGGAGCAUACUCAAGCCAAAUUUUACUCCCUAGUUACCUCAUUUGUGGCUAAUUCUAUUCUGCCUCUUCAUCUUUCACUACCAUUUAUUCUGGAGGUGAAAAACAACAGUAAGCUCCAAUCAAUCAGCUGAACUCCCUAUUACAGCUCUGGUGGAACACUCGGUGGGGAACAGUGCUUUUCUCACUGCUGUUUAUGCUGCGGCUGUUAAGAGACUUCACCCCUACUCGCGGCUGACGCCAUGCCACCAAGGCUGGGGCUGUGUCCGCUUGUGCUCACCAUGCACUUCGCUGAGACAAGAGCUGGCACUGAAACUCCAGUAUCACUGAGUCCAAGAGCUGGCCAGAGGGGAAGCUCUGAUAAACCAACCAAAAUAUCCAGUCAUCACUUUACUCUUUUCCUGCAACACCUGGUAGAGAAUUAGUCAUAUGACCACACCUACCUUCUCCACGUCAGCUUUCUUUUCCGUGAGAAGCGCUACUGUUCUUUUGUAAGCAUCAUUAAUAAGUAUUCGUACUUCAUCAUCUAUCAGUCUUGCGGUGGCUUCACUGUAAGGUUUCUCCAACACCAUGUCCCCCUGACGGGCGAGGUCAAAGGAAAUUUGUCCCACUUUUUCAUUCAUGCCAAACUGAACAAUCUGAAAAAGAAUAUAUGGUUAGUGGUGGGCAUCCAUUUUUCUUGACUGGUCAGUAUAUUUUUAUAAAAUGGCAGUAAGUCUUUAAAAUGACAUCAAAUUCACAUACUUCACUACUACUACUCUUUAACCUGGAAAUAUCUACAUGGUGGCCUUGAGUCAGCUACACAGACAAGGGUAGUCUGUGUAGACGGUGGCAGCAAUGGCAUAGUGUUUUAAACUCAACUAGGAAAGCAAAACCAGAAAACCACAGACAUCUACAACAACAUUAGGUGACAAACGAGUGGGGACAAGUCACCAACAGCUAUAAGGCCUGCAUGAUGUUACUAUUUGUACAACGGGAAGGAAAGGAGAAGCAAGACUUGACAGACCUGAGAAGAAAAGAAGCCCGAAACAGCCAACCGUUCUUUCUAGGAAGUGUGGCACGCCCGUGUAAGGCCAACUGGAGCUAGAAGGGCUCUGCAUCCUGCAGACCACUGAGUCUAUAGGGUGAAGCUCAUGGGAAGGUCUGAGGAGACUGGACCCUGGGAACUCUUAAAAACUAACCAGACAAAGCUCCCUUCUAGACAAAGCCUCACAUUAGAAGAAACUGCUGGAAGUAAAAUCUGAAUUGACUAGACGAGGGAAGAUCCAGACAAAAGUGGGGAAGAGGAGCAGAAAGAAGACUGAGCAGGAAGCUGUGCUGAACACUUCACGUAAACAGAAAAAGGAACUCUGAAGCCAUGAAAUUAGAAAAGCUGUCCUAACCACUCCUUCCUCCUCACGUCAAAUGAGCAACAGAUAAUUAGUAGUUGCUAGGAACUGGGGGAGGAGGGAACAGGUGUCACUGCGGAAGCGGCACUGAGUGUGCUGGGAGUGACGGGAAACUUCGGGAAGUGGACUGUGGUGAUGGCUGUAUAACACAGUGAAGGUCACGUCCCUGAGCUCUACACUUAAAAAGUGGUUAAAAUGGCAAACUUUUUAUUAUAUAUGUUUUGCCACAAUAAAAUUAAAAAAAAAAAUGCAACAGAAAAAUCCCUUAUAAAG